UACGUAGGUGACCAGCGUUGUCCGGAUUUACUGGGCGUAAAGAGCGCGCAGGCGGUCGUUCAAGUCGAGUGUGAAAGCCCCCGGCUCAACUGGGGAGGGUCAUUCGAUACUGAUCGACUGGAAGGCAGGAGAGGGAAGCGGAAUUCCCGGUGUAGUGGUGAAAUUCGUAGAUAUCGGGAGGAACACCGGUGGCGAAGGCGGCGACCUGGGUAGAUACUGACGCUGAGGCGCGAAAGCGUGGGGAGCAAACAGG
rnacentral:rRNA from 1 species